UCCUAUGGAAGUGGAACUUGAAACUUCCUGGUUCUUACAAUGUCUUCAUGCUUAUUUUUGCUUCUUCCUUAUCUUCACCUUGAUUACAAUUCUUCCACUUUUGUCUCUCUUGUUUAGUUUGUUACCCAGACCAAAGCUGUGGUGCACCUGUGAGAUUUGUCACACAUAUCUGAAUAUGAGUUGGUCAAAACAAUUCGACAAUCUUUGCGAUUGGUACACUCACCUGCUAAAGAACUCGCCAGGGAACACCAUCCAUAUCCAUGUUCUGGGCAAUACAAUCACAGCCAACCCUGACAACGUGGAGUACAUGCUCAAAACCAGAUUUGAGAAUUUCCCAAAAGGGAAACCUUUCUCCUUGAUCUUGGGUGAC
rnacentral:lncRNA from 1 species